rnacentral:rRNA from 1 species
GACAGAGGAUGCAAGCGUUAUCCGGAAUGAUUGGGCGUAAAGCGUCUGUAGGUGGCUUUUUAAGUCCGCCGUCAAAUCCCAGGCUCAACCCUGGACAGGCGGUGGAAACUACCAAGCUGGAGUACGGUAGGGGCAGAGGGAAUUUCCGGUGGAGCGGUGAAAUGCGUAGAGAUCCGGAGGAACACCAAAGGCGAAGGCAGUGUCCUGGGGAGUACCUGACGCUCAGGUGCGAAAGCCAGGGGAGCGAACGGGG